rnacentral:lncRNA from 1 species
AGAACAAUACAAGUGGGAGAGAGAGUGGGGGACAAAGUAAUAUCAUGCCCAACAUAUCUCUUUUCAAGUCUAGACAAGUGCCUUGAAGGCACCAGUUGCUCCCUUUACUAUCAUCCAUUCCAAACUCAUUUCAUUUGACCAAAAUUUCUAAGUGAGAAAAGAAGAAAUAAGAGGGAAUAGAGAGGGACUAUUCAGAUGGUGAAGAGAGGGAGAAAAGAAUCAAGCCAUCUUCCAUUCCUUCUUUGCUCACUUAAUACCCUCUAAAUAUUCUAAGUAACAAAGAAUAAGAGAAAAACAAAGAUUUGUGAGUUGAAUAUUGAAUGAGGGAUUCGGAUUUGCUAAGAAGAAGAGGAGCAAAAGCAAGCCUUAAUCAUCCUCAUCAAAGCUUAAGCAAGUGCUCAAGAGGUAAGACUUAAAACCCUAGCUUUCAAUCUUUGUAUCUUUUCAAGUUUUUAUUUUGCUUGAUUGAAAGGGGUUGUUGUGGUUGUUAAUGGUUGAUGAGUAACAUAAAGAUGAUGAUAAAAAUAUGUUAAAAUAUCCAUUAAUGGCUUGCAAAGUGGAACAAAAAUGAACAAGACACAAACUUAUGCGUAAGGAUGGAAAAUGGACUAAUAGUGUGGACUGUUAAGGGCUGUGUUUGGGGCAAUUUUGUUGUGGUGUCUCAAUCCUGAAAAUUAAAUUCUGUAAUGAUGGGUUGUGCUCUUAUGAGUUACGAAAAUAACCCAAUUGGAACGAAGCAAAAAUAAGUUAAAAUGAAUUUAUGGUGAAUGUUUUGGUAAAACAUGUUGAAAAUUGAAAUCUAGUGGGCUGCUGGCCUAAAGGUAAUUUCGGGGUUAUUUAUAUUUCCAGAAAUUUCUGGGUUUUUGGGGGAGUAUAUUAAACUAAAUUAGGAAUCCAUAGCCUCUAGAACGGACUCAUUCCGAGUUCGGACGACCGAGUUAUGACUUGUCAAAGUAAACGCGUCAAAACUGUUUAAUUUGGAAAAUCAGAUUCAGACCUACUGUUUGUAUGAAUUUUCUGAACUUGUGUGUUCUGAAUUUGAAAAUGGUUAAAUCAAAAAAGUUUUAGUCCUGAAAGUAAGCUUCGCGUGGGCUAAAAAAUCGCUUAAAAAUAUUUUGAAACAAAUUAGUUAUGACUUUUCUAAGGAGAGUGCAAAGCUCGGAAAAGUUGAAUAACUCAACUGUCCAAAAUUUUGUGUGACUAUUUUCGGCUAGUUAACAUGUACCAGAAAUUAGGUCCUUUUGUGUGCUGAACGUACACAGUACCAGGAAGUUUCAGUCCAAAAAUAGGUUCAAUUCGACUUCCGAGGCUAGAGUUAUGACCAAAUUAAAUUCUAGGAAUGAAAACUUAAUUAAAACUGAUAACUAUGAAGCUACACAACCCAAAAAAUUAUUUUGAGCAUAAAUGACCUUUUUAAAAAUAGUAAAUAAAGCUAAAAAAUUAUGAGGAAAAUAUUUUGUGCGUAAAAUAAUAUUAACUAAGCAUAGCUUGAAGGGAUAAAACUAAUAAGGUAUCUAAGUGACUUUGAUAAAUAUGUUGGGGUCAAGAAAGUAAGAAAGAAAUAACUAAAGAUCGAUUGAAAAGUUACAUAAUGUAACUUUCCGACUUAUUCACAAUAAAAUUGGAUGACAAGACUAAGGAAGGGUAAUAUGGUCAUCCCUAUAUUAAUAUUAUAAUAUGAUAUAUAUAUAGGAUACUCAAUGAAGAAUGAUAUACGAGGAAUGUUAAGUGAUGAAAUUAAAGAGGUUACGUAAUAGACGUUCGAUGAACGUUUUGGGAUAAGCAAAAACAGAGGCAAGUUCUUUCUGUAACUUAUUGAAUUGUUUGAAUAUGUCAAUAUGUGUGAUUUAGUUGCUCAAUUAUGUGUCAAUGUCCAGUGUUAUGUGAAUUGCAUGUGAGCAUGAUUAAUGUGUGCAUGUUGCGCAACUAUGUGAACAUACUGUUCAGUGUGGAACUGUAAUUAAAUAUAUAGUAUAAAAUAUAUGAAGCAUAUAAAUGCAUAUCAUGAGGUGUAUGAAGCAUAUGUAGACGUAUUGCAUAAGAUUUAUGAUGCAUGUAUAAAAUGCAUAGCAUGAGAAAUAUGAUGUAUGACUAAAAUGCAUAUUAUGUGUGAAACGUGAAGUAUGAAAUGUGAAAACUGUUAGACUUGCUGGGCAUUGCUGGGCAACGUAGUUGCUCACCCUUGCUAUAGAUAAAUGUUUUCCAAUUAAUUAAGCUAGGACGGAUCGAAGGAUUCAAUAAAGUCGGAAUAUGAAAGAUUAAUGAUUGAAGAUGUUUUGUAUUAAUAUUAAUACUUUUAAAUGAUGUAAUAUUCAUUUACAUUAUGUAAUGAUGUAUAAGUAAAGGUCUUAGAGCCUGGGAUUAGAUGAGACAUAAUGUAAUAAUUAAUUUAGAGGUUAUAUUUAUGAUGUUAAGGUAUAGGUGGGAUGAUUAGCACCGUGAAGCACCGAACCCGGGCUUGAAGGCAAACUCAGAGUUUGGGGGCUUUACAUAACAGCUAGGUUGCUGAAAGAGACACAUCAAAGGUGUUAGGUGAGAAAGCAAACUGAUGGAACAUGCAAGCUAAAAAAAAGCUGACACAUAGGUUUAAAAUAUGUCCACAACAGAAAUCCCAGAGUAUCUGAGCAUUAAAUGCACCAAUGGGCAUCUAGCAACGGGAAGAUAUUGAUAAAAAAGAAUGAACUCUAAUAAAAAAGUCAAAGCUCUGUCACGGCCCCAAAUUUGGGUCCCUUGAUCCUCGAACCUGGUAUGUCACGGUACUACCUUCAUUCCAAUAUAUAUAACCUUUGUUCAUAAAGUAAUGAACACAACCUGUCUUUUAUACCAAUUAAUACAUUAUUCCCUUUUAUUCAAAAAAUUGUAACCUUUACAAUUGGUUACUACAUUUGUAGAUUGUUCAUGAUCUAUCUAUACAUCUUAAACUAUAAAAAAUAUGUUUCAUAAUGAGAUAUUAACUUACGAGUAUUCAUUAACUCUCAAUUCAUAUUUAAAAUAUUCUUUUGUGUAGAGUAUUUCAACUCAACAUCUACAAUAUAUAAUAUUAACGUUCAUCAAGCUUAGUUGGAAACUUCGCAAUCAAGUGUUUUGGCAUAAAACCUUAACAUGUAUAAUUACUCUAAAGAAAUUACACCAAUACGUUAGUGUAUUUGUAGUUCUCCCAAAUUCGGGUACCUUUUACCUCGGACCUGGUACAAUACGAUUAAUCAUUUCUAUAACUAAUGCGGAAGAUAUAAACAUAAAUUGUUUAUACAAUAAACUUUUACACAUAAUUCUCAAGGUCUGUAAACUUAACUUAAUACAUGCAUUCAAUAUCCUACACGACUUACAAUGUCAUUCGCAUCAGAAAAUUUAAUAAUUCUAACUGCAUAAUAAUCUAAUUCUGGAAUUUGCCUUUACCUCUGUCUUUAUUCAAGCCUUCGUCUUAAUCUGAAAAUUUUACCAUGAUAUAGCAAGGGUGAGCAACUAUUUUGCCCAGCAAGUUUAAGUACAAGGAAGAUAUAUCAUGAUUGAAAAGGAAUAAGCUUUCAAGUUUUCAACAAUGUAAUAUAAUUGUGAAAGAGCAUGAAUCAAAACUUCAAUAACUGAAUAACUGAAUAAUUAUGUUGAGUGGUCAACAAUGACCAUGAACAAAUUUAGUUGAACCUUAUGGUAAUGAAGGUGAUCAGCCUUUCAUACAUGAUGAACAUAUGCAACAUGCACUAAGUGCGAAUCAAUAAUCAAAGAUGGAAUAAUUAUCAAUAAUUAAACCACUAGCAUUCUGAAAAAUUAUUAACUCGAGUUUGAGUUAGAAAACUUGCAUGUACCGUUGAUUACCGCUAUGCAAUCUAAUUUAAUCUCUUAUGAAAGACCUAUCAUUAAUAAGAUCUAUCCUCCAAUUAGCAUAAUACAUUUUAUCUCACAACACUAUUAUUCAAAUAAUAAAUUAGCUAACAUUUAGCCACAUAAUCAAACGUUGAAUAAUUCUUUAACUCACUAGUAAUAUUAUCGUCAUUUGAUAAUAUUAUUAUCACAUAACCAUCAUCUUAAGUUCUCAUCUAAUAUUAUUAAUCUUUUAAUAAUAUUUUAUUUACUUCUCAAUUUCUUAGUAAUAUCUUAAUCAUUUAUAAAUAUUAUUAAUCAUUUAAUAAUAUUCAAAUCAUUUACUAAUAUUAUUAAUCAUUAUCUAAUAUUAUUAAUCAUGUAAUAAUAUUUUACUUGUUUCAUAAAUAAUAAAUUUCUCAUACAUUUUAAGAUAUAAAUAUUUUACAUCUUGAAGCUUAAACCAUUUAAAUUUUAUUUUAGAAAUAUCUUUUACCUUUACUCGCAAAUUUGGGGUUUAAACAAGCUAAUACAUAGCUUUUAUAGUAAAACUCAACUUACUAUAUUAUUUCUUUAAUUUAAAUAAUCUUUACAUCAGUUUGUCCGUUCAUGAGUCAACACUGACCGUGGCCUCAUAUACAAAUAUUUUAUCCUCCUAGAACAUUCGCUCUAUUUUUCGUUUUACAAAUACUUAUAUAUAUAUAUAUAUAUCAUUUUUAUGAUUUAACACAAUUUUUCAAAGAUUUUACAUUCUUCGUUGCACCACAAAAUAAUUUUAUAGGCAACUAUAGUUUUUAUUUCGCUUAAAUAUGUAAUUUAUAUUUAUUACAUAUUUUUAUUGCUUUAGUUAUGCUUGAAAAGAAGUUUCUCGGCAUAAAAUAUCACUUAUAAUCAAAUCUCGUCCCGUAGGACUUUAUUAGAUUUAUUAUGACUUAUUAUUUUGCCGGAACGCGAUACAGAACGUCGAACGUCAAAAUUGCUCAACGCGCUGACGCUCGACGACGCUCGACGUCGCCCGUUUUUAUGUUCUCACAUACUCUUUUACUCAUUUUUUAACUUUCAAACCACAAGUCCUAUAGCAGUAAAUUUUUGGGCAUUUUAUAGACUUCAUGCCAUAGUAUUUUAAAAAAAAUUCUAACUGCGAAAACCAAUCACGGAAUCGAUCAAAAACAGUGUGUCAAAACCCAAGUAGGCAACCUGCACAGCAGGCACCGGCGGCACCAGCAGGAGCUGGGUGCGCCUGGCCUAGCUGCUGCACGGCUGGUGCUGUCCAGCUGCGGUUGCGCAUUGCAAAAAAGCUAAUUUGCGAUUUUUGUACGCGUUACUCGUAAUUCCGAUUAAUUUGAUUUUUGAAUAUGUUAUACAUGUCAUACCAAAGUAUUUUUAAAAAAUAUCACCCAACAAUUUCGGACCUCUUAGGCAGCCUAAAACAGGCCCCAAACAUGUCCACUCGCAACUGUUUUCAUCUUUUUCCCAGAUUUAUGCUCUUUCGCUAAAACAGUCGUAACUUUUUCGUUUCAAAACAUUUUUGAUCAAUUCUUGAGCCCACGUGAAGCUAACUUCCGGAACUACAACUCUUCCCUGCUGCCUUUUUUCCAGAUUCUAAACAUAUCAGUACAGAAAUUCAUGCAAAGGGACUGAACCGCAUAUGUUUUCCAGUUUUGACUCGGCUACUUUAAAAUAGCAUAACUCUUUACUCCGAAGUCGGAAUUAGUCCAUUUUGGAGUCUAUGGAAAGCUUAUUCAGUGUACUACAACAUACCAAAAGCCCAGAAUUUUUAGAGUACUAUAACUAACCCCGAAUUUUCUGUUUAGGAGCAGCAAUCCACUAGUUUUUCUAAGCUUUAAAAACUGUUUUCAUUUAUCUUCUUUGAUCAAGCUUGUUAACAUCCAAAAUUGUAAGAUCUACACAUAAAACAUCAUUUAACAAAAAGAUCUAAGAUUUUUGAGUUUAGAAUCAUAAGUCCAAUAUUUGAUUUAAAACCACCAAAAUAAAAUGCACUAAACUAGUUUGGGGUUUUUAGAUUUAUACCUUUGUUUGAAGCUAUCUUUCUUCUGUAUAUAAUAUACAUGGAUAGCAUGAGAAAAUUCUUCUUCCUUCUUCCCUCGUGGGCUGCCGGCCACUUCCUUCUCUCUACUUCCUUUCUAUUUCUUUUUCCUUCUCUCUUUCUCUUUCUUUUGGCUAGCUCUCCUCUUCUCUCUCUUCUUGCUUACAAAUCUAGAUAAAUAACUAGAUACAAACCCGCGCGUUGCGGCGGGAUUAUUUAAUUUUUUAAUAAUAAAUAUGUACAUACAAUUAAUAAAUUAAAAUAUAAUAAGAAUAUGAUAGAUUGUUAUCCAGAUUAAUCAACAUGUCCUCAGCAAACCAUAAAAGAAUAACACACAAAUCAGAUUAUGAUAAAUCUGUAGACCAACAAUUGAUUAUGGAUAAUUCCUCCUUGUAACUUAUAUAUCUCUCUCUUGCAGAUUGAAAAGGCUAUAAGAAACCUUGCAGUGGAUAACAACAAUUAUCUCAUAACUCAAUGUUUUUUCCACCAUGUAUGACAUUCAAAUAAUAUACGAUCCAGCAUAGCUCGAACUAUAUCCAAUUCUUGUCUUCAUAUAAGAAUUGACCAUCAAUCUAUCAUAAUCAUUUGAAUGUCGAAAGUCACUGAGGAUCACAAUAACUCGAAAGUCAAUCUAUUUUCUGGAUUCUCAAUGUAGCCC